GGUAAUCUUUGAAACUGCAUCGUGAUGGGGAUAGAUUAUUGCAAUUAUUAAUCUUCAACGAGGAAUGCCUAGUAAGCGCGAGUCAUCAGCUCGCGUUGAUUACGUCCCUGCCCUUUGUACACACCGCCCGUCGCUCCUACCGAUUGGGUGUGCUGGUGAAGCGUUCGGAUUGGCGUUAGUGGGCGGUUUUCCGCCUCCUCUCGCUGAGAAGUUCGUUAAACCCUCCCACCUAGAGGAAGGAGAAGUCGUAACAAGGUUUCCGUAGGUGAACCUGCGGAAGGAUCAUUG
rnacentral:rRNA from 1 species